UUUAAGGCCGUCAGAGCUAUUGUUAUUUACGCAUGGCGUUCUAUUGAUUUCGGCAACCCAUCGCUACUGAACAUGCGAGCGCAUGCGCACAAACGCAAAUGUUUAAACUCUUCCUUGAACAAAAUACCCAUGGAAAACAGCAGCUCCCUCGUGUAGACUCCUCAUACUCCACAACCACUCUAUGGUAGGAGGCCACGGGGAAGACCCAGGACACGUUGGGAAGACCAUGUCUCCCAGCUGGCUUGGGAACGCCUCGAGAUCCCCCGGCAGGAGCUGGACGAAGUGGCUGGGGAGAGGGAAGUCUGGGCUUUGCUACUUAGGCUGCUGCCCCCGCGACCCAACCUCGGAUAAGCGGAAGAUGAUGGAUGGAUAUAUUGAAUGUGUUGGUUUUUCUUUAUUAAAAGAAAAUAAUUUCAUCUUUAAAAAAAGUAUAAAACCAAAGUAAGGUUUUUACAUGUGUUUUAUAAAACUGGUUUCCACCAAA